CCUACGGGAGGCAGCAGUGAGGAAUAUUGGUCAAUGGACGCAAGUCUGAACCAGCCAUGCCGCGUGCAGGAAGACGGCUCUAUGAGUUGUAAAUUGCUUUUGUCCGGGGGUAAACUCAGAUACGCGUAUCUGUCUGAAAGUCUCUUACGAAUAAGGAUCGGGUAACUCCGUGCCAGCAGCCGCGGUAAUACGGAGGAUCCAAGCGUUAUCCGGAUUUAUUGGGUUUAAAGGGUGCGUAGGUGGUCGGUUAAGUUGGGGGGGAAAGCCCGCGGCUCACGGUGGGAAUUGCCUCUGAUACUGUUCGGCUAGAGUGUAGUUGCGGUAGGCGGAAUGUAUGGUGUAGCGGUGAAAUGCUUAGAGAUCAUACAGAACACCGAUUGCGAAGGCAGCUUACGAAGCUACUACUGACGUUGAGGCACGAAAGCGUGGGGAGCAAACAGGAUUAGAUACCCUAGUAGUC
rnacentral:rRNA from 1 species